UACGUAGGGGGCAAGCGUUGUUCGGAAUUACUGGGCGUAAAGGGCGCGUAGGCGGCACAGCAAGUCGGGAGUGAAAGCCCGGGGCUCAACCCCGGAACUGCUUUCGAAACUGCUGAGCUAGAGUACAGAAGGGGCAACCGGAAUUCCCAGUGUAGCGGUGAAAUGCGUAGAUAUUGGGAAGAACCCCUGAGGCGAAGGCGGGUUGCUGGGCUGAUACUGACGCUGAGGCGCGAAAGCCAGGGGAGCAAACGGG
rnacentral:rRNA from 1 species